rnacentral:rRNA from 1 species
AAGAUGGCGACCGGCGCACGGGUGAGUAACACGUAUCCAACCUGCCCUUUACUCGGGAUAGCCUUUCGAAAGAAAGAUUAAUACCCGAUAGCAUAAUGAUUCCGCAUGGUUUCAUUAUUAAAGGAUUCCGGUAAAGGAUGGGGAUGCGUUCCAUUAGGUUGUUGGUGAGGUAACGGCUCACCAAGCCUUCGAUGGAUAGGGGUUCUGAGAGGAAGGUCCCCCACAUUGGAACUGAGACACGGUCCAA